rnacentral:rRNA from 1 species
GAUGAACGCUGGCGGCGUGCCUACUACAUGCAAGUCGAGCGAAGCGGGGACGGGUGAGUAACACGUGGCUAACCUCCUAUAAGACUGGGAUAACUUCGGGAAACCGGAGCUAAACCGGAUGCUUAAAGAUGGAUCCGAGCUGCAUUAGCUAGUUGGUAAGGUAACGGCUUACCAAGGCAACGAUGCAUAGCCGACCGGAGAGGGGGAUCGGCAACACUGGAACGGAGACACGGUCCAGACUCCUACGGGAGGCAGCAGUAGGGAAUAUGCCGCAAUGGGCGAAAGCCUGACAGAGCAACGCCGCGUGAGUGAAGAAGGUCUUCGGAUCGUAAAACUCUGUUAUGAGGGAAGAGGUACCUAACCAGAAAGCCACGGCUAACUACGUGCCAGCAGCCGCGGUAAUAA